rnacentral:rRNA from 1 species
GAGUUUGAUCCUGGCUCAGAUUGAACGCUGGCGGCAGGCCUAACACAUGCAAGUCGAGCGGUAGAGAGAAGCUUGCUUCUCUUGAGAGCGGCGGACGGGUGAGUAAUGCCUAGGAAUCUGCCUGGUAGUGGGGGAUAACGCUCGGAAACGGACGCUAAUACCGCAUACGUCCUACGGAAGAAAGCAGGGGACCUUCGGGCCUUGCGCUAUCAGAUGAGCCUAGGUCGGAUUAGCUAGUUGGUGAGGUAAUAGGCUCACCAAGGCGACGAUCCGUAACUGGUCUGAGAGGAUGAUCAGUCACACUGGAACUGAGACACGGUCCAGACUCUACGGGAGGCGAGCAGUGGGGAAGUAUUGGACAAUGGGCGAAAGCCUGAUCCAGCCAUGCCGCGUGUGUGAAGAAGGUCUUCGGAUUGUAAAGCACUUUAAGUUGGGAGGAAGGCAGUAAAUUAAUACUUUGCUGUUUUGACGUUACCGACAGAGUAAGCACCGGCUAACUCUGU